GACGAACGCUGGCGGCGUGCUUAACACAUGCAAGUCGAACGGAAAGGCCCUGCUUUUGUGGGGUGCUCGAGUGGCGAACGGGUGAGUAACACGUGAGUAACCUGCCCUUGACUUUGGGAUAACUUCAGGAAACUGGGGCUAAUACCGGAUAGGAGCUCCUGCUGCAUGGUGGGGGUUGGAAAGUUUCGGCGGUUGGGGAUGGACUCGCGGCUUAUCAGCUUGUUGGUGGGGUAGUGGCUUACCAAGGCUUUGACGGGUGGCCGGCCUGAGAGGGUGACCGGCCACAUUGGGACUGAGAUACGGCCCAGACUCCUACGGGAGGCAGCAGUGGGGAAUAUUGCACAAUGGGCGGAAGCCUGAUGCAGCAACGCCGCGUGCGGGAUGACGACCUUCGGGUUGUAAACCGCUUUCGCCUGUGACGAAGCGUGAGUGACGGUAAUGGGUAAAGAAGCACCGGCUAACUACGUG
rnacentral:rRNA from 1 species